rnacentral:rRNA from 1 species
UACGGGGGGGGCAAGCGGUUGUUCGGAAUUACUGGGCGUAAAGCGUGCGUAGGCGGUGUCUUAAGUUUGUUGUGAAAUCUCCCGGCUUAACCGGGAGGGUGCGGCGAAUACUGAGAUGCUGGAGUGCCGGAGAGGUAAGCGGAAUUCCUGGUGUAGCGGUGAAAUGCGUAGAUAUCAGGAGGAACACCUGCGGUGUAGACGGCUUACUGGACGGUAACUGACGCUGAGGCACGAAAGCGUGGGUAGCAAACAGG